rnacentral:lncRNA from 1 species
AUGGCGCUCGUGGUGGGGCUGACCGAGGGCGGGCCCUUGGGGAAGCCAGCAAGGGACAGUGGAGGGGGCUGCGUCCCUCCCUCCCUUCCCCCAUCUCUCCCACUUCCCCUCUGUACUGAGGCCAGGACGGAAGGCCGCCGACUACAACUCCCAGCAGGCCGCACGCGGCAAGCCCUGCGCGGAGCUCACAGAGCCCACCUGGAGUGGCCUCCCCCGCGGGGUACGGGGGCGGGGCUUCCUCCUCCUCCCACCCCUCCUGUGCUGCUGCCUGAGUCCCAGCGCGGCUCCUCCUCCAUGGGCACAAGAGACCAAGCCCAGCUCCGGCUCCGGGUCCGAGUCGAGGUCAUCGCGUGGUUGGAGGCUGGAGCGCGGCGGCGUCGGAGUGCCGCCGUCCCGGGUCCCGUGUGCAUCCUUGUGGUCUGUCGGUCUCUCCCCAGGCUGCACUGGGAGCAUCUUGAGGACAGCCACUGCUUUGGCCCCUGACACACAGUCGGUGCUCAGUCAGUCCAUGUGGUUUGAUUGCAUGAAGGAUGUUGGCCUUUUGUGUGGACUUCUGUUGGGAAAAUGAAGCAUGUCUAGUAUCCCGACUCUGCAGUGUAACAAGUCUCCUUCAUGCACCCUCUGUGUCCCAGAAAAAGCUGUCCUAGAGUCCAUGAGCCUCUUUUUGUGACUUGGGCUUUCUUUGCUUUUCCACCUCUGUGUGUGUGUGUGUGUGUGUGUGUGUGUGUGUGUGUGUGUGUGUGUGUCUGCUGGCAGGCUUUUUUCAGGGUAUCAGUACAGUGGGGGAGGAAGAGGAGUUGACCUGCUCCUCCCUCCCUGGCCCCUCUCAUCCCACAUUUCCUAUCUCUCCUGGCUCUUUCCCUGGUGCCUACAAAUAGGCCCAUGUCUCCCUCAUCCUGAACAAAUCCUCAGUUAACCCUUCCAUCCCUGCUAACUCUGGUCCUACAAUGUCUUCUACCAUUUGUGGUGAAACUCCUGAAAAAGUCAGUGUACACCAGCUGCCUCCACUGUCUGUCCUCUCAUUCUCUUCUUCAGCCCUUGCAGUGUGGCUUCUGACCCCAUCAUUCCACCCAAACUGCCCUCUCCACGGUGACCAAUGACCUCUUAGUGGCCAAGUCCAGUGUCUUUUCCCAGUCCUCAUUCUCCUUGACUUCUUUGUAGCCUGGACGCAGUGGAUCCCCCUCUCCUCCUGGAUACUUCCAUCCCUUUACAGUUGUGGUUACUACACUCUGUCUCCUGGUUCUCCUCCUCACUCUUUGACUGCUCCUGGUCUGCCUCCUUUGCUGGAUCCUCCUCCUGCUCACACCUUCUGACCCCAGGCAUCCCUCGGCUUCUAUCCUGGGCCUGGGCCUCCUUCUUCUGAGCUGCUUCCCUUGGGGAUCUCCUCAGCUGCCAUGGAUUUAAUGACCUUGUGUAUGCAGAUAAUUCUCAAAUCGACCUUUCCUGCCCCAAACUCUCAGCUGAGCUCCAAUCACACCUCUGC